rnacentral:rRNA from 1 species
UACGGGGGGGGCAAGCGUUGUUCGGAAUUACUGGGCGUAAAGGGCUCGUAGGCGGCCAACUAAGUCGUACGUGAAAUCCCCAGGCUCAACCUGGGAACUGCGUCCGAUACUGGAUGGCUUGAAUCCGGGAGAGGGAUGCAGAAUUCCAGGUGUAGCGGUGAAAUGCGUAGAUAUCUGGAGGAACACCGGUGGCGAAGGCGGCAUCCUGGACCGGCAUUGACGCUGAGGCGCGAAAGCCAGGGGAGCAAACGGG